AUUGAACGCUGGCGGCAGGCCUAACACAUGCAAGUCGAGCGGAUGAAGGGAGCUUGCUCCUGGAUUCAGCGGCGGACGGGUGAGUAAUGCCUAGGAAUCUGCCUGGUAGUGGGGGAUAACGUCCGGAAACGGGCGCUAAUACCGCAUACGUCCUGAGGGAGAAAGUGGGGGAUCUUCGGACCUCACGCUAUCAGAUGAGCCUAGGUCGGAUUAGCUAGUUGGUGGGGUAAAGGCCUACCAAGGCGACGAUCCGUAACUGGUCUGAGAGGAUGAUCAGUCGCACUGGAACUGAGACACGGUCCAGACUCCUACGGGAGGCAGCAGUGGGGAAUAUUGGACAAUGGGCGAAAGCCUGAUCCAGCCAUGCCGCGUGUGUGAAGAAGGUCUUCGGAUUGUAAAGCGCUUUAAGUUGGGAGGAAGGGCAGUAAGUUAAUACCUUGCUGUUUUGACGUUACCAACAGAAUAAGCACCGGCUAACUUCGUG
rnacentral:rRNA from 1 species